rnacentral:tRNA from 1 species
GCGGGAGUAAUUCAGUGGUAGAAUGCAAGCUUCCCAAGCUUGACGUCGCGAGUUCGAUCCUCGUCUCCCGCU